rnacentral:rRNA from 1 species
UACAAGAAGUCAGAGCCCGUUAAAGGGUGAUGGCGUGCCUUUUGUAGAAUGAACCGGCGAGUUACUGUAUGGAGCGAGGUUAAGCAGGAUAUGCGGAGCCGAAGCGAAAGCGAGUCUUAAGAGGGCGCGAGUUGCAUGCAGUAGACCCGAAACCGGGUGAUCUAGCCAUGACCAGGUUGAAGUUGGGGUAAAACCCGAUGGAGGACCGAACCGACCCCCGUUGAAACGUUGGCGGAUGAGUUGUGGCUAGGGGUGAAAUUCCAAUCGAACCCGGAGAUAGCUGGUUCUCCCCGAAAUAGCUUUAGGGCUAGCGUCGAGAGAAGAGUUGCGUGAAGGUAGAGCACUGAAUAUGUGAUGGCCCCAUCUCGGGGUACUGAGCAUAAUCAAACUGCGAAUGUCACGCCAACAUGCUCGGCAGUCAGACAGCGGGUGAUAAGGUCCGUUGUCAAGAGGGAAACAGCCCAGACCAUCAGCUAAGGUCCCAAAAUGUAUGCUAAGUGGAAAAGGAUGUGGAGAUGUACAGACAACUAGGAGGUUGGCUCAGAAGCAGCCAUCCUUUAAAGAGUGCGUAACAGCUCACUAGUCGAAUGACUCUGCGCCGAUAAUUUACCGGGGCUAAGCAUACUACCGAAGCUAUGGAUCCCAAGGGAUGGUAGGGGAGCGUUCCAUGAACGGAGAAGUACGACCGAAAGGACGUGUGGAGAUCAUGGAAGAGAGAAUGCCGGUGUGAGUAGCGGAACGUGGGUGAGAAUCCCACGCACCGAAAACCCAAGGUUUCCAGAGGAAGGUUCGUCCGCUCUGGGUAAGUCGGGACCUAAGGCGAGGCCGAAAGGCGUAGUCGAUGGACAACAGGUAGAGAUUCCUGUACCCGUAUAUAUGUGAAGGAAUGACGGAGAGAGGAAGCUGCAGCCAGCGGCUGGAAGAGCUGGUGCAAGCGAGAUAUCGGGAUGGCAGGCAAAUCCACCAUCCGAAACGAGAAGGCGUGAAGCGUACGGAAAGCUACGGCGAGUACGGAAGGCAGUGGAGGAACUUCCAAGAAAAGUUUCUAACGUUAAGUAUAUAUGGCCCGUACCGAAAAUGGACACACAUGGGUGAGGAGAGAAUCCUAAGGUGAGCGAGAGAACUAUAGCUAAGGAACUCUGCAAAAUGACUCCGUAACUUAGGGAGAAGGAGUGCUCAUAGAGAUAUGAGCCGCAGUGAAACGGCCCAAGCGACUGUUUACCAAAAACACAGCUCUCUGCUAAGCCGCAAGGCGAAGUAUAGGGGGUGACGCCUGCCCGGUGCUGGAAGGUUAAGGGGAGGGGUUAACGCAAGUGAAGCCCUGAACUGAAGCCCCAGUAAACGGCGGCCGUAACUAUAACGGUCCUAAGGUAGCGAAAUUCCUUGUCAGGUAAGUUCUGACCCGCACGAAAGGCGUAACGAUUUGGGCGCUGUCUCAGCUGUAGACUCGGUGAAGUCUUAGUACCUGUGAAGAUGCAGGUUACCCGCGACUAGACGGAAAGACCCCAUGGAGCUUCACUGCAGGUUGAUAUUGGGAUUUGAUGCAGCAUGUACAGGAUAGGUAGGAGGCAAAGAGAUGGAUACGCCAGUAUUCAAGGAGCCGCUGUUGGGAUACUACCCCUGUUGUAUUGGAUUUCUAACCGGACGACGUAGAGCCGUUGACGGGACAGUGUCAGUCGGGCAGUUUGACUGGGGCGGUCGCCUCCCAAAGAGUAACGGAGGCGCCCAAAGAUACCCUCAGCUUGGAUGGAAACCAAGCGCAGAGUGCAAAGGCAAAAGGGUGUUUGACUGCGAGACCUACAAGUCGAGCAGGGACGAAAGUCGGGCUUAGUGAUCCGGCGGUGCUGAAUGGAAAGGCCGUCGCUCAACGGAUAAAAGCUACCCUGGGGAUAACAGGCUGAUCUCCCCCAAGAGUUCACAUCGACGGGGAGGUUUGGCACCUCGAUGUCGGCUCAUCGCAUCCUGGAGCUGAAGUCGGUUCCAAGGGUUGGGCUGUUCGCCCAUUAAAGCGGUACGCGAGCUGGGUUCAGAACGUCGUGAGACAGUUCGGUCCCUAUCUGUCGUGGGCGCAGGAAAUUUGAGAAGAGCUGUCCUCAGUACGAGAGGACCGGGAUGGACGCAUCAAUGGUGGACCAGUUGUCACGCCAGUGGCAUAGCUGGGUAGCUAAAUGCGGAAGGGAUAAACGCUGAAGGCAUCUAAGUGUGAAACCCACUUCAAGAUGAGAUUUCCCAUUGCGCAAGCAAGUAAGACCCCUUAAAGACGAUAAGGUAGAUAGGUCAGGAGUGUAAGCAUGGUGACAUGUUAAGCGGACUGAUACUAAUAGGUCGAGGGCUUGACCGA